rnacentral:rRNA from 1 species
UACGUAGGGGGCUAGCGUUGUCCGGAAUCAUUGGGCGUAAAGAGCGCGUAGGCGGCUAGAUAAGUCCGGUGUGAAAGUCACAGGCUCAACCUGUGAAUGCCGCUGGAAACUGUCUGGCUAGCGUCCGGAAGGGGCGAGUGGAAUUCCUGGUGUAGCGGUGAAAUGCGCAGAUAUCAGGAGGAACACCAAUGGCGAAGGCAGCUCGCUGGGACGGUACUGACGCUGAGGCGCGAAAGCGUGGGGAGCAAACAGG